CAAAAAUGAAGGACUAUAUCUUCUCAGGNCA
rnacentral:tRNA from 1 species